UGUACUAAUUGGUGACUAAAAUAAUUAUAAUGGAAGUUGCAAUAUACAAAAAAAAAAUUAAGGAUCAAUAAGAAAUAUUGGGAUUGGGAAUAUUGCGAGUAUAGCACUACUAGUAAUUAAUAUAUUUUUAACAACAUCAAAGUCACAUGCAACAUCAAACUUUACUCAACCAUGACCCUUCAUCAGCGCCAUCUAUCGAAUUUUUAUAAAUUGCAAUAAUCAAAUGUAAACACAAAAGACUUGAUCCAGGAGUUAACAUGUCAGACACAUGUUAAGCCUAGACGAAAAAGGAAAUAAUUUUUUUAUCAAAUUUGUUAAAAUGUCGGCAAUUAAAUCCGAAAAAUCAGCAGUAUCGGCAGCUCCCAAUGCAAAGACUUCCGCUACUCAUUUUUGUAAUGUCAUACCUGGUACUGGCUAUCAUUUACCCUUAAACAUGAGCAGUCAUUCUACAUCAACGUCGCUUACAACAACUACGAUACGAAAUAAUGUGUCGGUGACAAAUAUAAAAUGUGAAGUGGAUGAUGCAAGCACGCCGAAUGGCAAUGUUGUACCUGUUAUUGCUACAGUUGCGCCUAACAUGACCUAUUAUAAUAACUCAGCAGGUGGCGUAGGUAUACGCAUACCAGUUACGAAAACUGAAGAUUCCGAUUCCGAAGCGGAGUUAACCAAUAUUGAGAAUCAGAAAGUUACUCGUAGAACAAGUGCAGGCAAUGUCAGUGUUAGCAGCGCGACUGCAAUAAAUAAAAAUGGACCACGGCCAAUGUCGUGGGAGGGAGAACUUUCGGAGACAGAAACAACUGAAACAGAGGUAAUGGAUACUGAAAACUCAACGAGUAUAAGUUUGCGCACAAGUACUAGCACUGCGAGUGGUUGUGGUAGUGGCAUUUCUGUUAUUAAAAGUGAAGCAACAACUACUACGCAUACUCCAGGUCAGCAACAUACACCACAUCAACAACCGCGCACACGACCAUCAACGAUCAAACCAGAAUUGGAGCAAAUUUGUGUUGAUAUACAUAAUUCAUCUAUUUAUUCGCACCACACGAAGCUGAAGUUAGCACCUACGCAAAGUGAUCCCAUCAAUCUAAAAUAUGAACCUGAGGCGAGUAUGAAUUCGCCAUUGCUAGCUCGUAACAAAUCGACAAAUUUACCACUUCCAGCAAAUCCGAGUCCUGAUUCCGCCAUACAUUCCGUUUACACGCACAGUUCGCCAUCACAAUCUCCGCUUACAUCACGACAUGCACCGUAUACACCCUCGUUGAGUCGCAAUAACAGUGAUGCAUCUCAUAGUUCAUGUUACUCGUAUAGUUCCGAGUUCAGUCCCACCCAUUCACCUAUACAAGGUCGUCAUGCGACUCCAUCAUCGACUAUGUAUCCUAAUUUUAAUGGCUCUUUGCAUCAUUCCGUUUUGUACCGUCCUAUAUCCGUAGAAAAUGGUAGUAAUGCUACCGUGUCUGAAGUACAAAAUCUUUCCAUGGACGCACAAGUGCCACCUCUAAGUGUCGGCACCACAGACAGUACUUUACCAUCAUCAGCUGCAGGUAUUUCCAGACAGCAGCUGAUAAAUUCACCGUGUCCUAUUUGUGGGGAUAAAAUUUCUGGUUUUCAUUACGGCAUUUUUUCGUGUGAGAGCUGUAAAGGCUUUUUCAAGCGGACAGUACAAAACCGUAAAAACUAUGUUUGUGUGCGAGGUGGACCUUGUCCGGUGAGUAUAUCAACACGCAAAAAGUGUCCAGCUUGCCGUUUUGAAAAGUGUUUACAGAGAGGUAUGAAACUGGAGGCUAUACGAGAAGAUCGCACUCGUGGCGGUCGAUCUACUUAUCAAUGCUCAUACACACUACCCAGUUCAAUGCUCAGUCCUUUACUUAAUACUGAUCAGCAAGUUCAAAGCAUAUCAACAGCAACAACAACAAAUCAACAAUAUCAGCAGCGUUUGAGCGGUACGAAUACAAUCUCUAACAUGGGAGUAACGCAUUCCGCAUCAAACGGCUGUGUAUCCAACAGUGGGCAAACUUUCAAAACAGAACAGAGCGAUUGCUUAAAUGUCAGCAGCGACAAUGCACUCAAUGGCAGUAGUAAUGCGGCAACUACUACGCGUGCAACCAAUAUACCAGUUCUGUUGCAAGAAAUUAUGGAUGUAGAACAUCUUUGGCAAUUCAAUGAGGGUGAACUAACACGUGUAAAUCAACCGCUGUCAUCAUCGUCUUCGUCUCAUGCAACAACAUCCUCCACUAACCCAACCGGAACCAAUCAGGUGACUAAUCCACUGCUGGCCAGUGCAGGUUUUGGGAAUGGUGAGAACACCAAUCCAGAUUUGAUAGCGCAUCUGUGUAAUGUGGCUGAUCAUCGGCUCUACAAAAUUGUCAAAUGGUGUAAAAGUUUGCCACUUUUUAAAAAUAUUUCGAUUGACGACCAGAUAUGUCUGCUUAUUAAUUCGUGGUGUGAGCUUUUACUGUUUUCAUGCUGCUUUCGUUCGAUAGACACACCGGGCGAAAUAAAAAUGUCGCAAGGCAAAAAAAUAACGCUCACCCAAGCAAAAUCAAGUGGUCUGCAGGCCUGCAUUGAGCGAAUGCUUAACCUAACUGACCAUUUAAGACGCUUACGUGUUGAUCGUUAUGAGUAUGUAGCGAUGAAAGUGAUAGUUUUGCUACAAUCCGAUACAUCCGAAUUACUAGAACCAGUAAAAGUACGUGAAUGUCAGGAGAAAGCAUUACAGAGUUUACAAGCAUAUACGCUUGCCCAUUAUCCAGAAACGCCGUCCAAAUUUGGCGAGUUACUGUUGCGCAUACCUGAUUUGCAACGGACGUGUCAACUUGGCAAGGAGAUGUUGACUAUAAAAUCUCGUGACGGCGGCGAUUUCAAUUUGUUAGUGGAGCUGUUACGUGGGGAACAUUGACAAAUGCUACUUCAAUCAACAAAAUUUUUAUCAAAUAAAAUUUAUCUUAUAGCUUUGAACUGCAACAGAAGCUAUACUUCAGAAACAGUAGCAAUGCGAUGAAAAAUACGAUAGUUCUCUCAUUUUCAAUAAACGAAAAUGCAAAAGCUAUAAUUUAAUAUAUAAGGAAAUUCAUUAUAUGUUAUAAAAUGAAUUCGAAAGGAGCAGUGAAGGAAGGAAUAGAAAACAUGUGCCUAAAUCGUGAAACUGAUAGAAUUCCAUUUAAAACGUAUAAAUUAUCUUAUUAUAUUUGAGAAUCCAACUACUCGACUAGAUGAGUUUACUGCUACACUUAAUUGUGGAUAUUUAAAUCCAUGGACUGUGUAAAAAUAUUUCAAUGCAUCGAUUUCUUAUUAAAGUAAUGACAGUUCUAUACAGUCGUAUACGAUGACUCAAAUAGAAAGCUCGCGAUUAAAGGGUGGAGAUCUUUCACAUUACAAUUCAAAUGUUGAAGAAAAUUGUUUUACUAAUGUUUAUGCAAUCGCAGUAGAAUCUAAUGAUAUAAACAAUAUAAGCUAAUGAUAUAAACAGAGUGAUGUAUAUAUACUCUCUUGAGUCUACAAAACUUAUAUUGAGAGUGAAACUAUCAAUAGAUCGUAGUAUAAACAUUGAUAAAAAAACGAAAUCAGCUGAACUGUAGCAUGUGUACCAAAACCAUGAAUGAAUAUGAAUAACUAGUGAUAUAAACAGUGAUUGAUAGAGAUGUAAACAUGGUAGUAGAAUCUGCAGACUGUAUGCUGGACGCGAAACUAUCAAUAGCUAACUUAAACGAGCCUGUAGAAUAUGCACCGAAAGCAAAAUUAUGCAAAGCUUCUAGUAUUUACAGUAAUACUAAUGCUAUUUUGAUGGAGUAUAUUACGAUAUUUGAAGCAAAUCUAUCAAGGGCUACUAGAAGGCUGUAAUGAAGAUAGAGGUAAUAAAAAAGCAGAAGCAGGUUCGCUCAAUGUAAAGGACUUUUAUAUAAAUAAAUAAACCGAUGCAAAAUUUUCAGUAGUACACCAGUUUGGUAUAAAUACUGAUCUUAUAAUAUUCUAUGGCCACAAAUACAAUCCAAUUAAGAAAACAACACUUAUGUCAAUAAGAAAUUUAAAAGAGAAUCGAAACACUUAAAUCAACACAGAAAUCUAGCCAAAGUGCAACUAGAUCGAAGAUUAAUAAGUGUGCAUUAUAACAGUUAAAAAAAAACAAUAAUAUAUGCAUAUAUAUGUAUUAUAAACACAAACUUCUAUAUGGCAUUUCGCAAAAAUGUAUUAUCUUAUAUAUAUAAUUUAAUUUUAGAAUUAACACUCUGUCAUAUCUUUA